AACGUAGGAGGCAAGCGUUAUCCGGAGUUACUGGGCGUAAAGAGCGUGUAGGCGGCUUGUUAAGUUGCGUGUGAAAGCACCCGGCUCAACUGGGUGAGGACAGGCAAGACUGGCAGGCUCGAGGCCGAUAGAGGGGUGCGGAAUUCCGGGUGUAGCGGUGAAAUGUGUAGAGAUCCGGAGGAACACCAGUGGUGCCGACGGCGCCCUGGAUCGGACCUGACGCUGAGACGCGAAAGCGUGGGGAGCGAACGGG
rnacentral:rRNA from 1 species